AUAGCGAGAGUAAGGUGAGAAUCCUUACGGCCGAAUAUCCAAGGUUUCCAGGGUAAAGCUGAUCUGCCCUGGGGAAGUCGGGACCUAAGGCGAGGCCGAGAGGCGUAGCCGAUGGACAACAGGUUGAGAUUCCUGUACUACAGUAUGACAGAACUGUGGGGACGCAGAAGGAGAGCACUACCUGGAAUGGAAUCCAGGGGCAAGCACAGGAGGGGUACGGCUGGAAAAACCGCCGUGCAACCCAAAGGUGUGACGCAUACCGAACUAAAGUAGGGAAAUGUGUGAGCCGGCUGCCGAGAAAAGCCGCUAUUGUUUGUACUGUACCCGUACCGUAAACCGACACAGGUGGAUGAGGAGAGAAUCCUAAGGCCGACGGAAGAAGCAUUGCUAAGGAACUCGGCAAAAUGACCCUGUAACUUCGGGAGAAAGGGUGCCUCGAAAGAGGCCGCAGAGAAUAGGCCCAAGCGACUGUUUUAGCAAAAACACAGGUCUAUGCAAAACCGCAAGGUGAAGUAUAUGGGCUGACGCCUGCCCGGUGCUGGAAGGUUAAGGGGAGAUGUCAGGAGACGAAGCAUCGAACUUAAGCCCCAGUAAACGGCGGCCGUAACGAUAACGGUCCUAAGGUAGCGAAAUUCCUUGUCGGGUAAGUUCCGACCCGCACGAAAGGCGUAAUGACUUGGGCGCUGUCUCGGCAAUGCAUCCGGUGAAAUUGAAGAGCCAGUGAAGAUGCUGGCUACCCGCGCCAGGACGGAAAGACCCCAUGGAGCUUUACUCCAGCUUGAUACUGGGAUUCGGUAUUGUAUGUACAGGAUAGGUGGAGGCUGAGAAAUGGUGACGCCAGUCGCCAUGGAGCCGCUGUUGGGAUACCACCCUUGCAGUACUGGAUUUCUAACCAGCAGCCGUGAUCCGGCUGGGGGACAAUGUCAGGUGGGGAGUUUGACUGGGGCGGUCGCCUCCGAAAGGGUAUCGGAGGCGCUCAAAGGUUCCCUCAGAAUGGUCGGAAACCAUUCGAAGAGUGCAAAGGCAGAAGGGAGCUUGACUGCGACACCGACGGGUGGGGCAGGUACGAAAGUAGGACUUAGUGAUCCGGUGGUAUUAAGUGGGAAUGCCAUCGCUCAACGGAUAAAAGCUACCCUGGGAUAACAGGCUUAUCACUCCCAAGAGUUCACAUCGACGGAGUGGUUUGGCACCUCGAUGUCGGCUCAUCGCAUCCUGGGGCUGUAGUAGGUCCCAAGGGUUGGGCUGUUCGCCCAUUAAAGCGGUACGCGAGCUGGGUUCAGAACGUCGUGAGACAGUUCGGUCCCUAUCCGGCGUGGGCGUAGGAUAUUUGAGAGGAGCUGACCUUAGUACGAGAGGACCGGGUUGGACUGACCUCUGGUGCACCGGUUGUCAUGCCAAUGGCACAGCCGGGUAGCCAAGUCGGGAAGGGAUAAACGCUGAAGGCAUCUAAGCGUGAAGCCCCCCUCAAGAUGAGAUGUCCCCCGCAUAAGCGGUAAGACCCCUUGAAGACGACGAGGUAGAUAGGGCAGAGGUGGAAGUGCAGUAAUGUAUGGAGCUGACUGCUACUAAUAGGUCGAAGGCUUAACUAA
rnacentral:rRNA from 1 species